rnacentral:tRNA from 1 species
GGCCCAGUAGUUUAGCGGUUAGAAUGCCGCCCUGUCACGGCGGAGGUCGUCGGUUCAAAUCCGAUCUAGGUCGCCA